AAGGAAUAUUGGUCAAUGGACGCAAGUCUGAACCAGCCAUGCCGCGUGGAGGAUGAAGGUCCUCUGGAUUGUAAACUUCUUUUAUCUGGGAAGAAAUGUCGGUUUUCUAACUGGCUUGACGGUACCAGAUGAAUAAGCACCGGCUAACUCCGUGCCAGCAGCCGCGGUAAUACGGAGGGUGCAAGCGUUAUCCGGAUUCACUGGGUUUAAAGGGUGCGUAGGCGGAUUUUUAAGUCCGUGGUGAAAUCUCCGAGCUUAACUCGGAAACUGCCAUGGAUACUAUAAGUCUUGAAUGUUGUGGAGGUUUGCGGAAUAUGUCAUGUAGCGGUGAAAUGCUUAGAUAUGACAUAGAACACCGAUUGCGAAGGCAGCAGGCUACACAAAUAUUGACGCUGAGGCACGAAAGCGUGGGGAUCAAAC
rnacentral:rRNA from 1 species